CCGUACACAGCCGGUGGACUGAAGUCUCCUCCGAUUCAUCUGAUCUCAGUCAGACAGACGGAGCGCGAGGAAACAGUCAGAGGAGGUGUGAGCAGUACAAUAAGAGCAGAUACUGUACUCUACUACAAGAAUAUCUCAAACCACUAAACCCAUCGUCAUGACAGCCGGAGCGGUGUCGGCUCCCCUUAUCAUUCCCAUCAUCCACCUACAGACACACAGAGCCAAGAACCA